UACGGAGGGGGUUAGCGUUGUUCGGAAUGACUGGGCGUAAAGCGCGCGUAGGCGGGCAUUUAAGUCGGGGGUGAAAUCCCGGGGCUCAACCCCGGAAUGGCCUUCGAUACUGGGUGCCUAGAGUUCGAGAGAGGUGAGUGGAAUUCCGAGUGUAGAGGUGAAAUUCGUAGAUAUUCGGAGGAACACCAGUGGCGAAGGCGGCUCACUGGCUCGACACUGACGCUGAGGUGCGAAGCGUGGGAGCAAACAGG
rnacentral:rRNA from 1 species